GCAAUCUUUUAUUAUACAAAUACAUGAUACAUGCACCUAUCCCAUCUUCAUUUCAUCUUCCAGGGGUUUUGUUUUUUCAGACUUGUAAUUGCUGAAGUGAUGUAUUGAAGGUUCGAGCUUUAGAGGGUAUUUCAUGAUUCUGGGAGUGCUAUGUCAUAGUAUUCCAGCAUUGGAUUUGAAUCAGGAAUUGAUUUCUUAGGGAUAAAUUUUCUCCAAGUAGUGGUCCAAGAAAAGAGUGGUGUUCAAGUUCUUUCGAAUUGGAAAUCUUUGAUUGGCUUGACAUGGCAGAGAAAUUUUUUCUGAAGGGAGAGGAUAAGGUUAAUAUGGAGGGGGUAUUAGGCAGCGAAGCAGUAGAAUUUUUCUCUUGGUCAGCUUCAAAUCACAUGCUGACAGAAUUUACUUCAUCAAGGGGGGAUUUGGGAGUGCAGCAGGCGCUCUGCAAGAUUGUUGAGGGGUCUGAUUGGACUUAUGCAAUCUAUUGGCAAGUUGCAAAGUCGAAAUCUGGAAAAUCAGCUUUAAUAUGGGGCGAUGGACAUUGCAGAGAAACAAAGAUAGGGCAAGGUGAAGGUGCAAAUGAUUCCGCGCAUCAGAAAAUGAUGGACGGAAACAAGAAAAAGAUGGUUCUUCAAAAGAUUCACACUUGCUUUGGAGGGUCAGAAGAUGAUAAUAUUGCUGCCAAGUUGGAAUCUGUUUCGGACGUGGAGGUGUUUUAUCUCACAUCAAUGUAUUAUAUCUUCCCAUUCGAUAAGCCUUCUAGUCCUUCUCAAUCAUUUAAUUCUGCUAGAUCAAUAUGGGGUUCUGAUUUAAAAGGUUGCUUAGAGCAUUUCCAAUCAAGAUCUUAUCUAGCAAAGUUGGCUCGAUUCGAGACACUAGUGUUUGUUCCGCUGAAAUCAGGGGUUGUGGAGCUUGGUUCUGUGAAGUCUAUUCCGGAAGAUCAGAAUUUGAUUCAGAUGGUGAAAACAUCGGUGGUGGUAUCUAAUCCUCCGCAGCCCAAAGCAAAUACAAAGAUAUUUGGUCGGGAACUCAGUCUAGGUGGCGCUAAGUCAGGUCCCAUCAGCAUAAAUUUUUCUCCGAAGGUGGAAGAAGAGCUGAGUUUUGCUUCAGAUUCGUACGAAGUACAAGCAGCGCUAGGUAGUUCUCAGGUUUAUGGGAACUCAUCAAACGGGUAUCGAAGUGAUGAAGGUGAAGGGAAACUUUACAAGGAAGAAUUAGAUGAACGGAAACCAAGAAAGAGGGGCAGAAAGCCUGCCAAUGGGAGGGAA
rnacentral:misc_RNA from 1 species